ensembl:lncRNA
CCUGUUCAAAUCAUUAUUAUUGUAAUUCCUGCUCAGCGUUGGUAGACGGUCGUCUGUCUGUCUGUUUGAGAAGCUUUACAUUGCCAAAUAAUUUUUGUACAGCUUCUUUUUCUUUUCUAACUAUCUGAAGCCGAGCUAUGAUCAGGGAACUCAUAGGUGAUAUCACUCUACCAAGAAAGACCCCGCAUUAAUGAGAACAACUUAUUUAUGCAAUGACAUAAUGCUCUCUGUACCUAGACGGACAGACACAGGACAGGUUGUUGCCAUAAUGCUCUCUGUACC